GGGACAACGGAGCGGGGGGACAACGGAGCGGUGAGACCCCCGAACAGAGCGGGGAGACCCCCGAACGGAGCGGUGAGACCCCCGAACGGAGCGGGGGAACCCGAACGGAGCGGGGGAACCCGAACGGAGCGGGGGAACCCGAACGGAGCGGUGAGACCCCGAACGGAGCGGGGGAACCCGAACGGAGCGGGGAGACGCCGAACAGAGCGGGGAGACCCCCGAACGGAGCGGGGGGAACCCGAACGGAGCGGGGGGACCCCCGAACGGAGCGGGGGGACCCCGAACGGAGCGGGGGAACCCGAACGGAGCGGGAGGGUCAGCCCGAGCCGAGACGGGGUCUGGGGGGACGGUGCGGAAGGAAUGGCAGAGGGAAGAUGACGGAGGUGGCACAGCGGGUGAGCGCUUCCCAAAGGGGGUCCCUUCGUGUCUCCCUUACGUAUUCCCUGGAGCGCUUCCCGGCAGCUCUGGGAAGGCGGAUCCUCGCUGGAGGGCUCCUGAGGGGCUCCCCCCAGCCAGCAGCCGGAGCUGCGGUGGCCGUGGGCAGAGGGGAGUGGGAAGGGGGGUCUGGCAUGGCCCCCUGAGCUGCCAGCUGGAAGUAGCUGUGGUGGGGGGCAUGCCAUGACCUGUGUCCCUGCCCACAGAGGGGGUUCCAGCAGACGGGAAAGGCCAAGUUGCUGAAACAAAAGAUUUUCCAGAGAUCACUUGAACUAACAAAAUGAAUGUAUCAAAAAUGAAUGUAUCAAAAAUGAAUGUAUCAAAAAUGAAUGUAUAAAAAAAGAAUGUAUCAAAAAUGAAUAAAUCAAAAAUGAAUGUAUCAUGUUUGUAGAAUCAUGUGUUGAAUUUUAAGAAACCUCUGCACAGAAAGGCAUAGGAAAGAAAAACAAAGAUCUCUAAAGCUUCUUGCAAAAAGACAAAUACUGGAAAGGACCAGGAAUGCCAAGACUUCAGACAAGGAAGCCCUCUGUCUCCAACAUGUCAAGGAUGAUGAACUUAUCCAGAUAGGAGAGCAAAGGACCAAAAGCACAAGCGCGCAGGAGAAGAGUUCAAAAGUUCAAUGCAGAGGAAGAGGAUGAUCUGAAGCUCAAAGACCACCAGGGACCCCCAUAAAAGCCCCCACAAAAAACCACGCAUGCCCAGAAGGGCAUGGACCUAUUUAGCACGAGAAGCGAAGACAGGCGGGGCCAGGGGUUGAAUAUGCAUAGAAAAGUUGUGUAAUGUAUUGCAUAUGGAACACCUUUGUGAAUAAAGUCAGGGGGCAAACUUCAGCUCGGGGCACAAGAUUUCGGAGAGUUAUCUCACUUGUGCCGGGCGCUGUCAUACAUACCCACUUCAUAACUACAUCGAGUUGUGGAGUCUAUUUAUUUAUUCUGCAUAUCGCUUCAUUGCCACCUCCAGAAUGGCAUUCUGCAGUGGAGUUGGACAGGAACAGCUGGCGCACUCCGCUGGGAAGCCGCUCUGCAUCAUCCUCUGGUGAUUCUCGUCUACCUCUCACCCAGCUCCAGGCCCUGGAAAUUCUCUUCUUCUGUCUGCAUUCAUCACUCACCAGCACCGGCACACGGGGAAUAGCCUUACAAGUGUGAAGAAUGUGGGAAGAGGGUUCAGAGCAUCUCAGAACUCAUGAAACAUCAGUGGACACUCUCGGGAAAAUAUCUUCCCAUCCCCCCCCUCCUUUCAGGCUACACCAUGAUCUGAGAAAUACUUGUUUAGGCCUCAGCCUUGACAAACAGCCCUUGGCUCAACUCCUCUUGAGUUUAUCACCAACAUCGUCUGUUCUAGGAACUGGUGCUGUACAACAAGCUCCAACAGCCUUGGAAAGUUUUUUUUGUUUUUUUUUUUUUUUUUUGCCUGACUAGCAUCCCAAAUGGGAUCAUAUUUUAGUUCUCAACCUUUCCCAGAAAGUCACCAACCUGAGCUGCGGCUAGGAUGGAAAACGUCUGUAACUAAAGCCCAUCCCAUCCCUAUGAACAGCAGCCCUGAGUGAGACCCUUGGGCUCCUGGGCCGCAGCAGCUGCCACAGCAGCCGGGAACUCUCCCUUUUGCUGCCCUCAGGCUAUCCCUGAAUGGUCCUGGGCUAAGCCCACCCACUCCUCAAGGCUCCACCCUGCACCUGGUGGGAAGAUGCAAAGGCAUCUGAAGGGAGAAUUCCACUGGAUUCCACGGGAAUUUCCCACAGGGACCUCGUACAGACUCCUCCUGUCCAUGUGUGUGUGACACUGAAUAUGCCAUAGGAAGGAGAUUUGCCUCUGUGAAAAAAUGCAUAUUUUAUGAUUGGCUUUUUGCAAAUAUUAAAUUGAAUACUAUAUGUAUGAUGUUAUUUUGAUUAGAAGUGCUAUAUUAACAUUUUAAUAGUACGGUAAAUGUAGUUUAGUAGUUAAAAUGAAGCUUUAAUAGUUAAAAUAGAGAUUGAGAGGCAAGAUGUUUUCUAUUGCCAUCUGUGUAGCAGUUGACUCUGGGCAGUUUUCCUUAUCUCCUGGUAAUGGGCCCAUCAGUAUCUCCUGCAUGACUCAAAGAUAAUUCCCUCCAGAGCCAUUUCUGUUUAACAGGUGAUCAAGGACUCACCCCUGACUCAGAAUGACAUCAGCCCACGGUGAGAUGCUCCGCUCAGGGGCGAGGAGCUAAGUAUGCCCACCUAGAUCUAUCCUGGGAUUUCUAGACAGAGCAGCAGCUUUCCCACAGGUUUCCAAGAGGACACAGCUGGGGUUUUCCACUUGGCCCACUACACCUGUUCUACAGGACCACUGCACAAACAGAAACCACAUCUGCCACUCCAGGAGGACUGCAGCCACUCCAAUUUGGACUGCUACCAACACGCUGGCCAGAGGGGUGUCAGGAAUGAGAUAUUAACGUUGAGGUAACAGUCACAGAGCACCUCAAUAUUCCAGAGAAGAGGAAUUUAUGACUCUUUUAUCAGAAGAAGCUAAUUUCUUCAGGCCUUGCUCAGACUCAAAGAUGCCGUGGGGAUUAAAAUAAAUAGUUGACAUAUAGCAGAGAGAGGUUCUUGUUUUAAAUAGAAUGUAUGCAUAACCAUGAAGUAUGUAUGAAUAUGCAACAGUGUAUGGUUUUUAAGGGUUAUUCCUUUAUUCACAAGUCAUGCUUUUCGUGACUUAGUGUCCAAGAGCAUUCGGACAUCCAUAAAUCUUUGCUUUUUAUUGUCUUGUAAUUGUCCUAACUCUAAAUUUUAUUACUCUAAAUUGUAUUACUAUUUUUUUAUUAUUAAACUUAUAAAAUUUUAAGAAA